CGCUGAGCAGGGACCAGACUCCGCUCGCGCUCCUCGUCCUGAACGCGCUGACUGACUGGAAGGUGUCGCCGCCCCGCGUGCCCCCUGAGGAGGAUGUGCAGGCAGGAGCUCCUUUUCCAGGGCACCCAGUCUCUCCAGAGAGACAGUGAUGGGGACAGAGGGAGGCUGACUCCAGUCAUGUCAGAAACAAGAAGGACCUAGAGACUGCGCUGGAGCCAACACGGAUCUCACACGAUCCCAAGCUCCUGGUGACGACAGUGUUAGGAAAAUAAGUGUAUUAAAUUGUUGGGAUCUAAUUCUCAUGAAAAACUGAAAGA
rnacentral:lncRNA from 1 species